rnacentral:rRNA from 1 species
UACAUGAAAUCCUAUUGGUCAUGGACUAAGCCAUGCAAAUCCGAGUACAACUCGUAGAGUGAAACUAUGAAUAGCUCCAUAAUGCAUAUGUGAUGGAUUGAAGCACUACGUCUGGUGGGUGAAGGAUAGCUGCGGCAACUCCGGAGCCAAUCCACAUGUGACGUGCAUCUGGUUAGUUAGAUGCUUAUUUGCCCUUGAAAAAGGCAUGCUCAUCCAGCGUAUGUCCUAUCAGGUAGUUGGUAGGGUAAUGGCCUACCAAGCCUAUGACGGGUAACGGGCGGUAUCUGUCGAACUGCCGGAGAAGGCGCCUUAGAGAUUGCGACUAUGUCUACGGACAGCAGCAGGCGCGCAACUUACACACUCGAGAGUCUCGGACGUGGUAAUGACCAGUUCUCCCAACAUCCUCGGAUGUGGAGAUAGAUGCUUCACCAGCGAUGUCGCAUCACAAGAAGAGGGCCAGUCUGGUGCCAGCAGCUGCGGUAAUACCAGCUCUUCUAGGAUUUAAUUAUAUGUUGCAGUUGCACACUCGAAGCCACGGUUGAAUGCGUAAGACCUCUCGAGGUCUUCACUGUGAGUAAACCACUAUGCUUAGGAUAUCCCCAAACCAGAUGUUCUUCGCAUUAUGAAGGUCCUAUAUGGUUUCCAUGCCAUGUUUCUUCAUUGACCAUAUUAGACGUGAUCAAUAUAGCAGGGCGAGCGGUGAAAUGUGUUGACCCUUGUUAGAUUCCCAAAGGCGAAAGCAGGUCACGAUGGUAUAGGUGUCGGUCUAGAGUGAUGCCCAUGUGAGAGAACUGGAUUAGAGACCCAGGUAUCCAUGGAGCGCAAAAGAGAACUCCUCAUGCCUUCCUUCGGGAGGGUAUAAGUGAGAAAUCGUAUGUUCUUGGUUUCCGGGGGAACUACGAUCGCAAGGUUGAAACUUAAAGGAAUUGACGGAAGCGCACACAAGGAGUGGAGCCUGUGGCUCAAUUUGAAUCAACACGAGGAAACUCACUCGCACAUGGGGUGAACUAUGACUGACUUACUUACUGUGACGCAGAGAUGGUACUAGUGGUGGUGCAUGGCCGUUGGUGGUGUGUGUGAUGAUGUGCUUGGCUAAUUCUGUCAACAAUCGAGACUCUGGCCCGUAGCUGAGGGGAUUUCCACCAUGAAGGUUGGAUGAAAGCAGAGCAAUAACAGGUCCGUGAUGUCCUUUAGAUGCGUGGGGCUGCACGCGUGAUACAAUGCCCCUUGAACAAGGUUCCUUCGAAAGAAUUAGCUAAUGCCUGUAUGAUGAUGAUGUAGUGGAGAUCGGACUCUGUAAUGGGGUCCAUGAACGAGGAAUUCCUAGUAAGUAUAUGUCAAUACCCUAUGCUGAUUAUGUCCCUGCGCUUUGUACACACCGCCCGUCGCUCCUACUGAUGGGGUCAACGCUGAGUUCUCUGGAGGGUUUCCAAAGGGGUUCGAAGCUGCGAUUCUAGAAGAAGGAGAAGUCGUAACAAGGUAAGA